rnacentral:pre_miRNA from 11 species
UCUUCGGAGAUGAGGGUGGUCACAAAUCCCGGGAUAUGUCCCCAAAUGUAAGAUUCCCAGGAGGGAAGAUCCUCACUAAAGUCUCAGGAUGAUGCAACCGCCCAAGAACUCAUGAGAGACC